UGAUUAACAAGAGAAAAACAAGCAAGUUUACUAAGGCAUGCGGUCCACAGCACGUGGGAGAAACCUCAGUGAAACUCAAAGCGCAGUGGCUUAGAAGUCUGGCUCAUCUUCAACAAUACAUUUGUGGAGAAAUGACAGGACAAUGGAAAGCAAUUUUAGGUGUCCGAAGGCGAGAAACCGUGGGAAGAUAAAUAUAUGGGAAGAAACUAGUGGAG
rnacentral:lncRNA from 1 species